rnacentral:rRNA from 1 species
CCUACGGGAGGCAGCAGUGAGGAAUAUUGGUCAAUGGACGGAAGCCUGAACCAGCCAUGCCGCGUGCAGGAAGACGGCUCUAUGAGUUGUAAACUGCUUUUGUACAAGGGUAAACCUGAAUACGUGUAUUCAGCUGAAAGGACCGUACGAAUAAGGAUCGGCUAACUCCGUGCCAGCAGCCGCGGUAAUACGGAGGAUCCAAGGGUUGUCCGGAUUUAUUGGGUUUAAAGGGUGCGUAGGCGGAUUGAUAAGUUAGAGGGGAAAGGUCCGAGCUUAACUCGGGAACUGCCUCUGAUACUGUUGAUCUAGAGUGUAGAUGCGGUAGGCGGAAUGUAUGGUGUAGCGGUGAAAUGCUUAGAGAUCAUGCAGAACACCGAUUGCGAAGGCAGCUUACCAAUCUAUAUCUGACGUUGAGGCACGAAAGCGUGGGGAGCAAACAGGAUUAGAUACCCUUGUAGUC